rnacentral:lncRNA from 1 species
GUGUGAUCGAAAGAUUGAAUUGCACGGUAACUCACCAUGAAAGGAUAAUUUUGAUAUUUCUACCAAAUUUUAAAUUUUUUAGGUAGUCAUGACAUAUUGCUAGACAUCAAUCUUAACUUGUGAACUCAUCAAAAUUUAAAAAGUUUAAUUCAAAAAUUAAUUAGGAAGAGUCCUAGUUGAUUGGGACUCUUGAGUUGACCGAAUCU